rnacentral:piRNA from 1 species
CUGAAGGUCAGAAGCUUGGGACGUUGUGU